rnacentral:rRNA from 1 species
UACGUAGGUGGCAAGCGUUAUCCGGAUUUAUUGGGCGUAAAGGGAACGCAGGCGGUCUUUUAAGUCUGAUGUGAAAGCCUUCGGCUUAACCGGAGUAGUGCAUUGGAAACUGGGAGACUUGAGUGCAGAAGAGGAGAGUGGAACUCCAUGUGUAGCGGUGAAAUGCGUAGAUAUAUGGAAGAACACCAGUGGCGAAAGCGGCCACCUGGACGACAACUGACGCUGAGGUGCGAAAGCGUGGGUAGCAAACAGG